UUUUGAAUUUAUUUAUUUUUAUUUAAAAAUUUUAAUAAAAAUUUAUGCCAAAAUACUAAUUUAAUUUUUUUCAUAUUUUCUUUUCAGGAAAAGACGGAGGAUGCUGCAGAUUCGGGUGGAAUAUUGGAAUGUGGCUACCGUUAGCUAUUGCAUGUGUGAAGCAAUUUCUGGAGUUGGACAACAACAAGAUUAUCAAUUCAAUAUGGGAAACUAAAAUAGAAGACCUGGACUUUAAUCAAGAAUCAGGUUAUUAAGACUUCAAGUGUCCCUGAGAAGAACGAACUGCAGGAAUGAAAACGCCAUUUAGAUGCCAAAUUCAGUGGAAGUCAUGGGAAUUGGC